UAGUAAUCUCUGGUGUUAAAUGUUCUAG
rnacentral:piRNA from 1 species